rnacentral:rRNA from 1 species
CAGCCGCCGCGGUAAUACCGGCGGCCCGAGUGGCGGUCACUAUUAUUGGGCUUAAAGCGUCCGUAGCCGGGUUGGGAAGUCCUCCGGGGAAUCUGGCCGCUUAACGGUCAGAAUGCCGGAGGAUACUCCCAGCCUAGGGAGCGGGAGAGGCCGAGGGUAUUCCCGGAGUAGGGGUGAAAUCCUAUAAUCCCGGGAGGACCACCUGUGGCGAAGGCGCUCGGCUGGAACGCGUCCGACGGUGAGGGACGAAGGCCAGGGGAGCAAACCGGAUUAGAUACCCGGGUAGUCCUGGCUGUAAACGAUGCGGACUUUGUGUCGGACAAGCUAUGAGCUUGUCCGGUGCCGGAGGGAAACCGUUAAGUCCGCCGCCUGGGGAGUACGGCCGCAAGGCUGAAACUUAAAGGAGUUGGCGGG